rnacentral:lncRNA from 1 species
AUAAGGGGUUUCACCUUGUUGCCCAAGCUGGUCUUGAAGUUCUGGGCUCAAGCGAUCUGCCUGCAUUAGCCUCCUAAAGUUCUGGGAUUACCAACAUGAGCUACCAUGCCUGGGUCAAAGCCAUUCUCUGAGCUGAAGAAAAACUACAAAAGAUAGAAACUCAGAUGUGCAGGAAAGAAUAUAGACACCAAAAAAGGAGUGCAAUUUUGACCAAUUACUUUUUACUGGAAGAACUUCAAGAAUAGCUAUGAAGCAUAUGAAGAGGUCUUAUUCCGAGUGAUCCUGAUGCUAGUCAAGGAAGGGAAUGACUGGUUAGAAUCAAUGCCCACACCUGAGAAUUGUGCUUGAGAUAGAUUCUCCUGAAGACACAGGGCUUCACAGGAAGGAGAGAUAAUUAUUGGAUGGAAAACAGAACUGAGAAGAGAAAUCACUUGUGUCCCAGCACCAUUUGUUGAAAAGGAUAUUCUUUCCCUGUUGAAAUAAUGUCUUGGCACCCAAACUGAAAAUGAAUUCACCUCAGAAUGUAUAGAUAAAGUGGAAGACUACUCCUAGAGAGAAGCAAUUGUGCCUGAAGCCUCUAUGGUGAAAAUUCUACAGAGAGAUACAUCUAUCUUGAUCAGAAAACAGAUCUGAGAAUCUGAUAAAGAACCUGACUGGGUAAUAUAUACACAUGCUACAAAGUAUAAAAGGCACGAGAACAUGAGAAAUCAUUCUCAGUCUUAUAUCUGUAUCACGGCCA